rnacentral:rRNA from 1 species
UUUAUGGAGAGUUUGAUCCUGGCUCAGGAUGAACGCUGGCGGCGUGCCUAAUACAUGCAAGUCGAGCGAACGGACGAGAAGCUUGCUUCUCUGAUGUUAGCGGCGGACGGGUGAGUAACACGUGGAUAACCUACCUAUAAGACUGGGAUAACUUCGGGAAACCGGAGCUAAUACCGGAUAAUAUUUUGAACCGCAUGGUUCAAAAGUGAAAGACGGUCUUGCUGUCACUUAUAGAUGGAUCCGCGCUGCAUUAGCUAGUUGGUAAGGUAACGGCUUACCAAGGCAACGAUGCAUAGCCGACCUGAGAGGGUGAUCGGCCACACUGGAACUGAGACACGGUCCAGACUCCUACGGGAGGCAGCAGUAGGGAAUCUUCCGCAAUGGGCGAAAGCCUGACGGAGCAACGCCGCGUGAGUGAUGAAGGUCUUCGGAUCGUAAAGCUCUGUUAUUAGGGAAGAACAUAUGUGUAAGUAACUGUGCACAUCUUGACGGUACCU